CUAUACCCUAAGCUGACUGAGGGAAUCCGGACCAACGAGGUAUAUUCGUCUUCGACUACUCUUGUACCGGAAGACUACUACUCCUUUAUAAGCUAAGUAAACCUUCCAUUCUUCAAAUAUUCCAAAUUGACGAGCUAUCCGCUCAAAGUCUUCCUGAUCGUUAUACUGGAUCCUUACAUCCGCAUCCAUAUUGUGGGCUUUCAACGCGGCAUC
rnacentral:sRNA from 1 species